rnacentral:rRNA from 1 species
GACAUGGGUGGCGAACGUUAUCCGGAUUUAUUGGGCGUAAAGCGCACGUAGGCGGCUUUGUAAGUUAGAGGUGAAAGCCCGGGGCUCAACUCCGGAAUUGCCUUUAAGACUGCAUCGCUAGAAUUGUGGAGAGGUAAGUGGAAUUCCGAGUGUAGAGGUGAAAUUCGUAGAUAUUCGGAAGAACACCAGUGGCGAAGGCGACUUACUGGACACAUAUUGACGCUGAGGUGCGAAAGCGUGGGGAGCAAACAGG